rnacentral:rRNA from 1 species
GACGAACGCUGGCGGCGUGCUUAACACAUGCAAGUCGAACGGAGGAUUUAUUUCGGUAAAUCCUUAGUGGCGAACGGGUGAGUAACGCGUGGGCAAUCUGCCCUUCAGAUGGGGACAACAUCCCGAAAGGGGUGCUAAUACCGAAUACGAUCACGCUGCCGCAUGGCGGUGUGAUGAAAGAUGGCCUCUAUUUAUAAGCUAUCGCUGAAGGAUGAGCCUGGGUCUGAUUAGCUCGUUGGUGGGGUAACGGCCUACCAAGGCGAUGAUCAGUAGCCGGUCUGAGAGGAUGAACGGCCACAUUGGGACUGAGACACGGCCCAAACUCCUACGGGAGGCAGCAGUGGGGAAUAUUCCGCAAUGGACGAAAGUCUGACGGAGCAACGCCGCGUGAGUGAUGAAGGUUUUCGGACUGUAAAGCUCUGUUGUUUAGGACGAAAGUGCCUGUUGCGAACAGUUACAGGUAUUGACGGUACUGAACGAGGAAGCCACGGCUAACUACGUGCCAGCCGCCGCCGUAA